UGGCUCAGCGUUCCUCAUGCAAAAACUCUUU
rnacentral:piRNA from 1 species